GACACUUUGGCCGAGUGGUUAAGGCGGUGCCCUGCGUAUGUAUACACAAACACCGACUUCCAAAGACUCCCACGCUAACAGCCCACCUAGUAAGGCAUUACGUUCGCGUGCGUAGGUUCGAAUCCUGCAGGUGUCG
rfam:Cordyceps confragosa RCEF 1005 scaffold_3, whole genome shotgun sequence.